rnacentral:rRNA from 1 species
CAGCCGCCACGGUAAUACGAAGGGUGCAAGCGUUACUCGGAAUUACUGGGCGUAAAGCGUGCGCAGGUGGUGGUUUAAGUCCGUUGUGAAAGCCCUGGGCUCAACCUGGGAAUUGCGAUGGACACUGGGCGACUAGAGUGCGGUAGAGGAUAGUGGAAUUUCCGGUGUAGCAGUGAAAUGCGUAGAGAUCGGAAGGAACAUCUGUGGCGAAGGCGACUAUCUGGGCCAACACUGACACUGAGACACGAAAGCGUGGGGAGCAAACAGGAUUAGAUACCCGUGUAGUCCCUGUCUCUUAUAC